rnacentral:lncRNA from 1 species
GGCGCCCCGAGUCCUCCUUUUGCACACACACGAAUACAAAGAGCCAUACGACCUUCGGGUAUCCUUUUUCCAUUUUUUUCCCCUACUUAAUCUUGUGUGUGUUUUCAAAUUUUUUAAAAAUAGAGAUCUGUGGCAGUGCUGGGGAUCAGAUUAGUGAAUAAUUAAAUUGCCAGAGUGUAUACUCCAUGUUGCAAAUGAAGGUAGGCAAUUUAUUGAAUCUGUAGUUCAAAGAUGCCUUUAGUGAUUGUUUUGCCUAAGUGGUUUUGCUUUUUAUUGUCUCACGUUCUUAAAUGUACAGCUGUGUAUAUUUUGGCCUUUAUGUAUGGUUUGGUUGUUGUGUUCCGAACGGAAGUUCUCUCUUGGCUUUUUGACAAAAUAGUCAUUUAUUGGUUGGGAUUUGUUUGAAAAGCUCCACAGUUGGUAAAAUAUCAGGAAAAAUUCAGUCAAGUCCACUCUCAAAAACUGUUCACAGUGGUGUUGAUGGGGGCCAAGAGGAGGCAAAGGCAGAUAAUAGGGAUAAGGAAUGCAUUUUGUUAUCAUGUUGGAUUUUUGGAAUGAAAAUCCUCUCUUGGUCUAAGUCUCAGUGACAAGUGAAUUAGAGGACAACAGGCUCAGAGCAGAGCCUCCUGCUGUAGAAGGCCUACUGUCACUUCCUGCUUUUAUAGAACCAGACAUCUCAUUAGCAGUCAUACAGACAGUAUCUGUACUCAAAUCUGUAUUUACAGAUUGGAAUGAAAGCACAGAAAUAUAUGGGGUGAUGAGGGAGAAACUGGAAUGUCACAAGUGUAGUAGCAAGCAGGUGAUUAAAAGAAUCUACUUCAUUACAAAACCUCUGUGUGAUAAUCAUAUAUUCCCAUCCUUCAGCUGUGUCCUCCAUUUCAAGCAGUAUUUAAGACACCUAAGUAACAACUGCAAUAAAAAUGUGUAUAAGGUCGUGAAUUCAUUAUAAGGAAAAUGACCCUGUGUGGGGUCCCCGGGUUUCUAACAGUAUAUUUUUAUCCCCUAACAAUGUGAGUUAGAUCAGCGUUUAAUAAAUGCUGGCUCGAAUGUGGAUCAUUCCACAAGUUAAGACCUGCGUUGCUUUCCAAAUCUUCGCAGAUGCUGACUUUUGUUACCUCAGCAGUGAUGGGAAUUCUUAAUGAGGUUUUGCUCUAACUCUCCGAAUAUACUACAGGUUACCACGUACACUUUUUAGCUUCUCAGAAAAGGGAGAGGUACACUUCCUAGGCUACUCAAUUUCGGUAUCUUGGGACCUAUGCUCAUAUGCAACGUAGUUGCUUUGAAUUUCUUUGUAAGAAAGAGAAUUCCUCAUGCAAAUACAUCGUUGGCUUGGCUUUAACAAAGAAAAGCAAAUAUACGCUGAGUUGAUUUCUUUUCUUUCUUUCUGGGAAUGCGAGGGUCCCCCAAAGAUGAAAACUUUGACUAAGAGGAACUGCUGUUUUGCAAGCGUUACCUGAAAACCUGUAACCAAGGCCAGCUGGAACUAAAAAUCAACCACCAUCAAGCGUAUGAAACCGAUCUGAGGUCACUGUACUUAUAAUCGUGUACACAUAGCUUUGUGAAGAGCAAAGAACAAAAGCAAGUAAACAAAAAAGCCAAAGAUGGCGUCUGACGGCCUUGAAAAAGCCUCGCACUCUUGUCCCUCCCUGAGAAGGCCCCUCCCCUCCCUGUCUCGUUGAGUGACCGGUAAUGUUUGCCAAUAGCAACCCUGCUUAUGCUCACACACACGCCCAUCGCCCAACCACCAAUCAUUGAGAGCCAGAAGGCAAGCGGGGCGGUGCUUUUCUGCGUGCGCGCGCUGUGGCUGAGUACACGAGCCGGAGCAACUGACUCAGCCACCACCCGGGUCUUGUUGAGUCAGCGGGCGUGGGGCUUCGAGGCACCUGUGGUGGAACACCCGUGGGGCUGCUAGAGUGGGACCCCGCGGCGAGCGUCCGCCCCUGCCCAGGACCUCAGCUUUCCUAGCCACAUAAUUACCCACGUUGACCCAGCAAGAUCCCCUACCGCGCCUCGACCUCUGGGCUCUCCACCGCCCGCCGGGGACUGUCCCCUGGUCCGGCGCACAGUGGCGGGGCUCCCGGUCCCUGCGCCUGACGACUGCUCGGCGUCGCUGCGCUCUCUGCCUGUAGCCAAAUCACACUGCCUGUCGGGAAUGGUUCUGUUGUCCCUGGCGCCCACCUUGUCAUCUUUGACUAAUAUUUAAUCGACUAACAUUUACCGAGGACUUGCUGGGCGCGUGAUAGGGUUCUAGGAGCUAACUUUCCAUUUUUCAGUUUCUCCAGAAAAGCAGUAAGUGCUCUUUUAUGUCAGGCACAUUUAUAUGAAAAUCUGAAAGUGGAAAUUAUGGUCUUACCAAGUUGCACUUUAGCAAAUGUAAAUAAAAAAGGAUUGUGCUUAUGCUAAGUUAAAAACUCAUCCCCUGAUCUGCCAAUAAACAUGUAAUUUGGGGAUUACAUGGAAUCAUUGUUUAAAGCCCUUCUGCCCUCUGGGUCUGCAAUUCUGUUUUGUACACCUAACGAUGAGGGGUUUUUUUGUUGUUUUUUGCAAAUCAUUAGAUGGGUCAGUCUUUCAGAAUGUAAGGAAAUUGUAUUUUAUGGUACCUGAUUACCUGCUCAUGUGUGAUAGGAUCUCAUUUCUGAUAGAAAAAUAGGUUUUGAGAGGAUCUUCAAACAGGUGAGCCAUUUUGCACCUUGAUGUGGAGGAGCAGAGUUGACCAACCAGGAGGAGCUUUAAGUGGCCAUUUUUCCUUUUUUAUUUCUUAAAAUGAAGAUUAUGAUAUGAAUUGCCAGGCUUUCUGUAAUCACGUUUAAGAAAGUCCGUUUCUAGCCUGACCCUGAGCAAGCCAAAGGCCCAUUAUAAGAGCAUAUAUCAUUCUGAGGGAUACUGUAUCACACACAUCUAUUAAGUAGUGAGAAAACUUAUUUUUCAUAGUUUGGAGGUGAACUCAGUCAAGCAGAAAAUUCAAACUCAGAAUGGGGAGAAAGCAAGCAAGGGUACUGGCAAGAGUAUGAUAUAUUCAGUCCCAACAAAAAUACAUGUGACUCAGGAGAGAGGGAUGUUUAAGAUUAUGAACAGUCUCAGUGGAUAACUAGGUUGAUAUAUAGUACCUGCAAUAUAAAGAACAUUUGAGAAGUUUGUAAUGGUUUUCAUUUGAAAUAUUUAGAC